UCCGGGCUGUCGACAGAUGAAAGUGACACUUCUGAAUGGUCUGAAUGCACAGAGGGUUAAAUGAGUCACGCCUGGAUUCAACUGAGCAAACAGAGAAGAGCCAGUGGUUGUGUAAUUACAGCGGUGAUGGCAAUAAUUCAACUGCAACUAGUGAUUUAGCUCCAACUGUGCAUCAUGGGAGUAUUCUACCCCAGCCACAGUGCAGCGCCGAAACACCAUCUUGUUCUCGGCCCGGCACUGCAGAUGGGAGUCGGUCUCCUCGUCGUACAGCUCCAGGUCAUUGUGGAUGAAAUAAACCUGGCAAAUCUUCACAAUCUCAAUGGACACGAAGAGCGAGAUGGGAAUCAGCACCUGCAGAGGACACAGGGGG